rnacentral:rRNA from 1 species
AACGAACGCUGGCGGCAUGCCUAACACAUGCAAGUCGAACGAAGCCUUCGGGCUUAGUGGCGCACGGGUGCGUAACACGUGGGAAUCUGCCCUUCGGUUCGGAAUAACAGUUAGAAAUGACUGCUAAUACCGGAUGAUGACGUAAGUCCAAAGAUUUAUCGCCGAAGGAUGAGCCCGCGUAAGGAUUAGGUAGUUGGUAGGGUAAUGGCCUACCAAGCCGACGAUCCUUAGCUGGUCUGAGAGGAUGAUCAGCCACACUGGGACUGAGACACGGCCCAGACUCCUACGGGAGGCAGCAGUGGGAAUAUUGGACAAUGGGCGAAAGCCUGAUCCAGCAAUGCCGCGUGAGUGAUGAAGGCCUUAGGGUUGUAAAGCUCUUUUACCAGGGAUGAUAAUGACAGUACCUGGAGAAUAAGCUCCGGCUAACUCCGUGCCAGCAGCCGCGGU